UUAGGUUUCUUCUUCCUCUCCACGCAUGCGAGCUUCUUCGAGUAGCAAACGAAAUUCGCAGAAGCUAAAUCGGCAAUCCGAUCUCCGUAACGUCUCAACCUUCCGUUAAUGCGUGCCUAACUCCAAAUUUUUCGUGAUUAUCGCUCUUCGUACACCGCAGCAAAUGGCCGAAGCUUCAAGUCUAAAUAUCUCACCCUUCAACGAUGGACAGCGCAACUCAAACACGACCCAGAAGAAUAUUUUGUUCUAACACCCGAUUCCGACGAUGGCGACUUCAUACACUCUCCUUGUCGAUUCGAAAGCCGGUUGCUGCUCUAACACUGCGGAGUUUGUAGAUUGUGGUUUAGUGGAUCAACAUGGAUUUUCAAGGAACAAAAUCAGGGUAAUCGAUGACAAUAUACCUCCUCUUUCUUAAAAAAAAAAAAUCAUUAGUUUAUAUACCUCUCAAACCAUCAGAGGAGGACUUAAAUCAAUGGCCUGACAGGUAUAGGUAAACCAUCAUCAUGCAUUUUAUGCUCUUUAUCUUUAUAUAUUCUGAAUUCUGUGUGUGUGUUUCCUUUUUGGCGUUCCGGGUUUCACUUGCUAUAGAUGGCGACUCAACAUUGAUUUCUUUAGAAACGUCAAAGGCAAGCCCUCAGAUUGAAGGGUUAGAAACAUUUGACUACUUGGAGAACCUCAGAAAAAAAUUCUUUUGACAGAACAAGGCGACAGUAAAAACCUUUGAAUCUGAGAUGGACCGGGCUUACCUUGGAUCGCCCAAAGUCGUAGCAGUUCUGGACCAUGAAUGGAAAAGAACAUAUGUUACGGGAAAAGAAGGACUUCUAGACACGGUAAAGAAUCAUAUACCGUGAUAUGGGUUUCAUUAGUUAUGAUAGUGAUGAUGCAGUUGUAUGAAAACCAUGGGAGAACUCAAAAACUAUGGUGGAUUUAGGGGACGAUAAGUACAAAAGCAUACUUUGUGUGGAUGUUAAUUACUUUGAACCAAUGAGAAGAAGGAUCAGCCGGCUUAUAUUAAUCGCUGUUAAGUCCAGUUUCUGCUUUGAUCAACUUGAACUAUAGAGCAAAGGAUUCAGAUUCUGUAUGUUUAAGAAUUCCAUCCUAAAAAAUAUCAAGCUUAUUCCUCUGCACGAUCUUUGCACAUUUUUAUACUGCAACAUUGGAAAAACAGAAUUGUUUCUUCUCUAUUUUGUUUUCAUGUUUGUCCUCAUUUUCUCAGUAGGGAAGUUUAUUAGCCGGUGAGUUCUUACCCCGGUCUUGGUGAUGUAGAGACUAAACAAAAAGCCUCUGUUAUUUUUAUAAUGUAUAAAAUC